CAAGAAGUAGCUUACAUGAAAGCAUUUAACUUACAAUUAAAAAACGCCCACUCAAGGACCUUCUUGA
rnacentral:tRNA from 1 species